rnacentral:rRNA from 1 species
UUCGAGUGGCGGACGGGUGAGUAACGUGUGGGUAACCUGCCUUACACAGGGGGAUAACACCUGGAAACAGGUGCUAAUACCGCAUAAGCGCACAGGGCCGCAUGGCCCGGUGUGAAAAACUCCGGUGGUGUAAGAUGGACCCGCGUCUGAUUAGCUUGUUGGCGGGGUAGGGGCCCACCAAGGCGACGAUCAGUAGCCGGCCUGAGACGGUGGACGGCCACAUUGGGACUGAGACACGGCCCAAACUCCUACGGGAGGCAGCAG